rnacentral:lncRNA from 1 species
AAGUCAGGGGGCGGGGCCGGGGGGGGGGGGCGGAGGAGGUGGAGAGUGAGGCCGAGGCGUGGGGAGCCCGGGAACUCCCUCCUCCUGAAGUAACGCGUCCCGGGCCGGCUCUGCCGUCGUUGCUGCCGCCGGGCGCCCCGGGACGAGGAGGUGGAGGAGGGAGAGGGCCCGCGGGCCUCGCCUCCGCCCUCCGCCACCUCGAGCUGCGGUAGCAGCGACUCAUGAGAGCGCGGCCGGAGGACAGCGUUGAUGCCUUACCUGGACAUUUCGAGGCUAAAGCAGUUGUUGAACUCCAGAGCAUUAUCAAGUCUUCACAGCUUAAAAACAGAUUUGAUAAUGGGCUGCAUUAAAAGUAAAGAAAACAAAAGUCCAGCCAUUAAAUACAGACCUGAAAAUACUCCAGAGCCUGUCAGUACAAGUGUGAGCCAUUAUGGAGCAGAACCCACUACAGUGUCACCAUGUCCGUCAUCUUCAGCAAAGGGAACAG